rnacentral:rRNA from 1 species
GACGAACGCUGGCGGCGUGCUUAACACAUGCAAGUCGAACGCUGAAACCUCCUCGGGGGUGGAUGAGUGGCGAACGGGUGAGUAACACGUGGGUAAUCUGCCUCAUACUCUGGGAUAAGCCUUGGAAACGGGGUCUAAUACCGGAUGGUACCUGUCCGCGCAUGGGGGUGGGUGGAAAGUGCUGGCGGUAUGGGAUGAGCCCGCGGCCGAUCAGCUUGUUGGUGGGGGGAUGGCCCACCAAGGCGACGACGGGUAGCCGGCCUGAGAGGGUGACCGGCCACAAUGGGACUGAGACACGGACCAGACGCCUACGGGGGGCAGCAGUGGGGAAUCUUGCGCAAUGGGCGAAAGCCUGACGCAGCAACGCCGCGUGGGGGAUGACGGCCUUCGGGUUGUAAACCUCUUUCGACAUCGACGAAGGCCCCUUUGGGGUGGACGGUAGGUGUAGAAGAAGCACCGGCUAACUACGUGCCAGCCGCCGCCGUAA